GAUGAACGCUGGCGGCGUGCUUAACACAUGCAAGUCGAACGAUGAAAGCGGGAGCUUGCUCCUGCUGGAUUAGUGGCGAACGGGUGAGUAACACGUGAGCAAUCUGCCCCGAACUCUGGGAUAAGCGUUGGAAACGACGUCUAAUACCGGAUACGACGCGCGAAGGCAUCUUCUGCGCGUGGAAAGAACUUCGGUUCGGGAUGAGCUCGCGGCCUAUCAGCUAGUUGGUGAGGUAACGGCCCACCAAGGCGACGACGGGUAGCCGGCCUGAGAGGGUGACCGGCCACACUGGGACUGGGACACGGCCCAGGCGCCUGCGGGAGGCAGCAGUGGGGAAUAUUGCACAAUGGGCGCAAGCCUGAGGCAGCAACGCCGCGUGAGGGACGACGGCCUUCGGGUUGUAAACCUCUUUUAGUAGGGAAGAAGCGAAAGUGACGGUACCUGCAGAAAAAGCACCGGCUAACUACGUGCCAGCCGCCGCUGUAAAAC
rnacentral:rRNA from 1 species